AUGUCCUGCUGCUCCAGUGAACUGGGAUUGGGACACAUGAGACAGUGGAGGGAUGAUGUUUCCACUCAAUUCCAUCCUGGUCUUUAAGAGCAGAAAGAGGAGAGAAUGGGAGGAAGCACUCCCACACAGAUGUGGGAUGCAGGGCAGUGGGCAAUGGAGUUGACUGGGUAGUGUCAGCAGGAAGAUCAGUGGUUGCUACACUUCACGCAGUGCCAGUGUUACUGUGGAUCACAGCUCCAGAGUGGACCCCAGCACUCAAAUGUUUCCCCAGCUCAGCUCCCCCAGUGAUUCUGCAGUGAGGCCAUUUGAAGGGCCCCUUGCCCAGAGAGGAACAGACAUUGAGCCAGGAUGUGGGUGCCAGAGACGAGACCAGGGCCCAGAAAGAAACAGACUCUGACCUUCCCUGAGGGGGAACCCAUGUUCUCGAUCCAAAUGUUUGCUUUUCAUUUCACCUUUUUUAGAUGAAUAAGAGAGACCUCGAAGGCUGGGCCAGAGAAAAAGCCAAGCCACAAAAGGGGAGACUAUUAAGGUAUGCAAAGGCCACUCGUCAAAGGUCCAGUAGGUUUAACUCUUGGGUCUGACUCAGCCACUAGUCAGCUGUGUGACUGUGGGUAGGGCAGAUGUCCUCUCUGGGCUUCAACCUCCAACUCCAUAAAAUGAACGGGGGUGGGCAGACAGUUUAUUUAUUCAUUAAUUCAACAAGUAUUCACUGAGUGCUCUGCUAAACCCCAGAGACCAAGUAUUGACCAAGACAAGGUUGCUGCUCUCAAGGAGCUUACAACAUGGAAGGACAGAUGUCAACUAGAAAAACACAUAUGCAGGCAGAGUGAGCAAUAGGGAAAGGGGAAGGAGAAGACGUUGGAGGGCAACACAGAGCCAGAACUUGGAGGAAUUUGCUCCUAAAGUCUGUGAACCCCUGCCAUUUGUCACUCCUAAACCACCUUUGUUCCUGCAUGAAUGAAGGAAGCAUCAUUCAAUGGUCAUACCCCUAGGUUCCGGGGCCAGGUGCUGCCCUGCCCAGUGCUUUGCAUUCAAGAUGGCAGCUCCAUUCCAUCAAGCCUUCCAGCCCAAACAGCCCCCUCCAUCCCUUCCCCCACUCCACUGGAUCCUCAUCCCCUAGAUUUCCACUUUCCCCCAUUUUUCUCUGUGCACUUCUCGCCUUUCAUUUCUGACCAAACUUCAGAUGACGGGAACACUGAUAAAUUAAUGAUUGUAAUUAAUAAAAAUUGACUCUCUGCUAAUAAAUUAUUAUGAAAUGGCCUGUCAAGUUUUUUAAUGAAAUGCAAAAAGCUGCAGUAAUGAAAUGAGUGUGUGCACUUUCCCAGCCAAGACGUGAGAAAAUACAUCCAUGGGGUGCUCAGGGGUCUACAAAGAAAGAAUCUGGGAGAAGAAAAACAGGAUUGGAUCAAUGCGUUAGGAGGAGUUACUGCUGUGUGAGUACCUACUAUGUUAGACACUUACCCGGUGUUAUUUUUAUAUUAUCUGAUCAACCCAUGAGGUAGAGGCUAUUAUUACCUCUCGAUUUUACAGAUAAAGAAACUGAGGCCCAGAAAGGGUAAGAAACAACCCUAGGUCCAAAGCAAUUAUGCUGUAGAUGUGUGAUCAAACCAGAUAUUUUGAACUCCAGACCCCCUCCCACUUAGUUAACCACUUAAUUAUAUAGCAUUGAUUUAAUGCUGUUUUGUAGAUCCAACCCUGUUUUGUAGACCUGCGAUCAAACCAGAUAUUUGGACUCCAGACCCCUCUCCCAAUUAGUUAACCACUUAAUCAUACAGCCUUUUAAAAACUCGGGACUUGAGAGAAACAAAAAAUAUCAAC
rnacentral:lncRNA from 1 species